rnacentral:rRNA from 1 species
ACUCCUACGGGAGGCAGCAGUGGGGAAUAUUGCACAAUGGGCGCAAGCCUGAUGCAGCCAUGCCGCGUGUAUGAAGAAGGCCUUCGGGUUGUAAAGUACUUUCAGCGGGGAGGAAGGGAGUAAAGUUAAUACCUUUGCUCAUUGACGUUACCCGCAGAAGAAGCACCGGCUAACUCCGUGCCAGCAGCCGCGGUAAUACGGAGGGUGCA